CAGGCGCGCAAAUUACCCAAUCCUGACACGGGGAGGUAGUGACAAUAAAUAACAAUACCGGGCGCGUUAGUGUCUGGUAAUUGGAAUGAGUACAAUCUAAAUCCCUUAAUGAGGAUCCAUUGGAGGGCAAGUCUGGUGCCAG
rnacentral:rRNA from 1 species